UUGGUUGUGAGGUGUGUGGGGGAGGGACAAGAUAACACGGAAGAAGUUUUGCGCAAACAGGGAGCGGUAAAGAAAGAGGAGAGAAAACAUUUUGAGCCGAGCUCCUUAUAUCAGUAGGUGGCGAUUUGCCAACCGCCAAUAAAUUUCAAGAAGAAGAAGAAAGAGCAAAGAGCUGGGAAGAGGUACAGAGAGAGAGACUCGGUUGGAUGGAGUGGCCAAGACGAGAGGCUAAGCUAAGCUAAGCUAGCUGGCAGAUUUUAGCGCACUCAGUGUUUUCCUUGGUGACUCUCAGCGCAUUCAAUGUUUUCGGGAUAUUUCAACGCUCUCAAUGUUUCCCCCCUGCGCCCCUAUUGAGGUCUUUGUCAUUCUGGAUUAUGGCCAUGGUAGGGAGGUAAGAGUGGAUCUGUAUAAGCGACUCUGCUGGACGUAGCAGCGUGUGUCCUACACUCUUCACUCCGCCAUGUUUUCCACAAACACGCCACCGACGCAUGUGGCCCUGGGCGCCUGGACGGCCGUGGACCCCCGCCGUCGCCUCCUCAGGCAGCGGGCGCUGCAGUAAUAUCAUCUGACAGAUGACUGCAGAAAUUGAAAGACAGAACUAGAUGGAUGACAUAUCAAACCAAGGACAACAUGUGAACAUUGGAGGUGACGGGAUAAAUUGGAUCAAUCUUCACAUAUUCCCUUCACA